AGUCGUUCUUUGAGGUUAAGUACGCUGUACUCAAGUUCGGAGUGACUGUAGUUUUGUUACAUCUGCGUUGAUAAUCGUGCAGCUUCUACAUCCAUUUAUAUUGAGUGCUUUCUGAAGAAUUCUGAAGAACGAGUCGCGAGCCCACCAUCUCGACAAGCUUUGGAACAGGUCCACGUGGUUGGUGGAAUUUUUCCUACCAGAAUGGACGGCCCGGAAAGGAAUAAGGACCAGGCGGAAAACAUGAACACCACAGGUUUUGACUCUGUUGCAUCAUCAUCAUCUGAACACAAUCCUGAAACUGUUCAAUUAACCAACAAAAAACAGCAAAAUGUUGUUUUUGAUCAGCAGUCAACAAAGCCAACAGUAUCUUUAGAUGUAGAGCAAGAUAUAUCACAGUUAUCAUGUGAAAACGAUGGCAAGGAAAUCUUCACUAGACAAUCGGCAGAGUCAAGGGUAUGGUCACAACAAUUACAAGCAGAAGCCCAAUCUUGUGAUAAAGAUGGGUCACAAGCAGAAGCUUGCGAUAAAGAUGGGUCGCAAAGACAUGCUGCUGCAGCUAACUCAAUUAACGCACCGCAAAAAUUUACUGCACAGCAAAAUAAUUCAAGCAAACAGGAGAUGACUCGAAGUAUAUGGCACGGCUGCAAGCGAAAUUACCUAUUAGACUUGGUGGACUUGGUCUGAGAGAGGCAGUCGAGUCUUCACCAGCUGCUUACGUAGGGAGUUGUAAUUCUACUCGUAAGAUGGUCUUUACUAUCAGGAGACUCCGAAAGUCAUCUAUAGAUUUGUCACCAUUUGAAAAACAAACACUGUUCUUCGACUUUAGAUUUUAGCACUGCUACUCAACGACAAAUCCAACCAGAAGUUGACUCUGAUUUAGUCAAGUAUUUGUUGAACACUGCUAGCUUAGGAGACAGAGCACGUGUAAAUUCAAUCAGUACAUCUCAUGCAGGAGCUUGGUUGUGGGCAGUACCCAACUCUAAUCUCGGCCUUUCCAUGUCUCUUCAUGAGUUUGUUAUUGCAGUACGGCUCUUGUGGGAAUCAAGGUGUUUCCUUCUCUUCCGGCAUCUGUCUUAAUUGUGCAGUUGUUGUCAGCACAUUAACACUUUUGGAAAUCACGUUCUUGGUUGUGGUUUUGGUCCAGAGCGCACACGUAGACACAGUGCAUUGGCAGAAGUUAUUUUUCAGUUCUUAUUGGUUGAGAACAGAGAUGCUAUGAGGAAGAUGAGGUGCAACGGUUCUACUGAAAGCCGUCCUGGUGAUGUUUUCACCUUGAGUUCUUGGAGGGUCGACCUGCCUAUUUUGACGUAACAGUUAGAAACUCUUUGCAGCCGUUAUAUGUGACAAAAUCAGAUGUAAGGACUGGAGCCGCAACAGAGGGAGGUGAAGAACAAAAGGAUAUUCGCCAUGAAGACAGUUCGUACAGCUUGUGGUCUCUUUUACGCCUUAGUGGUUGAGAUCUUGGGGCUCUGGUCAUUAUUCAGCAUCAAAACUCUGAAAGCUGUUGCUUCCCAAACCUUAGCAGUCAGUGGCCUUAAAUUUUACCAGGCUUUCCAAAAUGUAAUGCAGCAACUUUCUAUUCAAUUAUGGAAACAUAACUCGAGAAUGAUUCAUAAGAGAAAUCAGCUUGAA